GGGAACAAGGAAUGGUAUAGCAAUUGAGUGCAAUGAUUCAAUGUAAUGAUGCAUGAAAUCUUAAAUGAUGGAGGGAACAAGGAAUGGUGUAGCAAUUGAGUGCAAUGAUUUAAUGUAAUGAUGCAUGAAUCUGAAAUGAUGGAGGGAACAAGGAAUGGUGUAGCAAUUUAGUGCAAUGAUUCAAUGUAAUGAUGCAUGAAAUCUGAAAUGAUGGAAGGGAUAAGGGUGAUUUUGCAUGGCAUGGGUGGAAAGGUGAGUAAGUGGUGAAUCAAUGAGUGCAAGGAGGUGAAAGGAUAUUGUGCACAUGGUAGACAAAGGAAAUGAAGUGGAAUGAUGCAACAAAUGAGUGAAUGGAGGGAACAUGGAUGAUGAUGCACGGCAU
rnacentral:lncRNA from 1 species